UGCUUUGCUGUGCAUUCUGUCCAAUUCUUUGUUCAAAAUGCCAAGAACCUGGACAAUUUGCAGUCAAGACCCUCCACCGGGAUAUGAACUUCCAAUUAUAUCAUUGGACUUGACUACUCCAUUUCUUUCCACAUUUAAAAAUCAAUCAGGGAGAAGCUAUUUUGAGAACUUAACACAGUAUUUAACAUGGGAUUUCUGAAUGAAGACAGUUUAUGGAUGAAUAAGGCAAAGGAGUUACUGAAUGUCUGGACUUCAGCGAAUUAAGACACUGAGACUUUCUCGCUAUUGAAGCUACCUUGAAACAAUAAACACUAAAUACCUAGUUGGUUUGCCAAAAGCAUAAAAUGUUACUUUUCGUAUUUGAUUUUCUUUCCCAAAUCUAUAAUAUAAUCCAGAAUUUGUACACAUAUUUUUUUCCUGAUAAUUAAACGUGUAGACAAUGGGAAUAUAAGAGUUUCCAAAUCCAUUCAAUCAUUUUAUGAACUUUUUCUACCUUCUUUGUGCUCCUGGGAAAAAAAUCAACACAUACAUUUUAAAAACAUAUUUGAUAACUGAAACUAGUUAACCUAAACCCAAAGAAGGCCUACCCUUCUACCAUGUCCAAAUUAAAACUAAAAUUAUUAACAGUUUGUUUCUUUACAUCCAUGAGAAUUUGCUUCAAUUAUUUCUUUUCAUGCCAGUUUCCUUUUCAAACCCUUCCUUAGACUUUCAUUAUAUGUUUUCUAGUUACAAAGUCCGGAAAAGAUAUGCAUAGAGAUUGGUGUAUCCAGGAACAGAAAA
rnacentral:lncRNA from 1 species